rnacentral:ncRNA from 1 species
AAGUCUCUUGGAACAGAGCGUCAUAGAGGGUGAGAAUCCCGUCCUUGACAUGGACUACCAGUGCUUUGUGUUGUGCUCUCAACGAGUCGAGUUGUUUGGGAAUGCAGCUCAAAAUGGGUGGUAAAUUCCAUCUAAAGCUAAAUAUUGGCGAGAGACCGAUAGCGAACAAGUACCGUGAGGGAAAGAUGAAAAGCACUUUGGAGAGAGAGUUAAACAGUACGUGAAAUUGUUGAAAUGGAAACGCUUGAAGUCAGUCGCGUUCUCUGGGAUUCAGCCUUGCUUUUGCUUGGUGCAUUUCCUAGUCUACGGGCCAGCAUGAAUUUUGACCGGUGCAAAAAGAUUUGGGGAAUGUGGCACCUCCGGGUGUGUUAUAGCCCCUUGUCACAUACGCCGGUUGGGAUUGAGGUCUUAGUGCACGCUUCGGUUGUGCUUUGAUGCUGGCGUAAUGGCUUUAAACGACCCGUCUUGAAACACGGACCAAGGAGUCUAACAUGUCUGCAAGUGUUUGGGUGCAAAACCCGAGCGCGAAAUGAAAGUGAUAGUUGGGAACCUCUUUAGAGGGGCACCGACGCCCGGACCAGACCUUCUGUGACGGAUCCGAGGUAGAGCAUAUAUGUUGGGACCCGAAAGAUGGUGAACUAUGCCUGCAUAGGGUGAAGCCAGAGGAAACUCUGGUGGAGGCUCGUAGCGAUUCUGACGUGCAAAUCGAUCGUCAAAUGUGGGUAUAGGGGCGAAAGACUAAUCGAACCAUUUGUUUUGCUACUUGGUGGUUAAGAGGCAACCGAAAGGUUUAGCCUAGUGAGCGUUGAGGCUUGCAACACUGUCAAAUUGCGGGGACGUCCUAAAGCUUUUGCGACCAAGCAUUAAUGGAAACAUUGGUGUGGCCGAGUUAAUAGCCCUGGGUAUGGUAAAACUGCAAAAGAUGUUACAAUGGAUAAUCCGCAGCCAAGUCCUAAGGACUCCUCUAUUUUGGGGGUCUAUGGAUGCAGUUCACAGACUAAAUGGCAGUGGGUGUGUAUUGAGCUGGGAUUACUAGUUCUACAUGCUUAAGAUAUAGUCGGU